CCGAGGCUGCUAUUUGUACCGCCAUUUAAUAUCUAUUUGGGGGAUAAUUAUGUCUUCAGUUUUGAAACUACAGUUCCUGUAAUGCUUUGUGGGAUGUACACAGGAAGUAUAAUGUUGCCACGGAUACAGCGAGUUGGCUGUGGGCUACAACUUUUUUAGCCUUUUUGUGUUUACAUUUGUGUCAAAUUGGCACCAUUAAAAGUGUGCCAAAUCAAAUAUUAUCAGUUCAUGUUUGUGAUGUACUCAUGGAUGUACAAACAACUGUCACUGGAUUACUGUGAUAUUGAAGAAAAUGUGACGAUUCUUAGGCAAGUUCUGCAGUUAUAAGGAGUGUCCUUUUUCUAUGAUUUCUAAGAGGAUUAUUUAUUCACGAUGGAGACAAUGAUUUCCUUGGAAAAUGGUCCUAGCUUCCACACACUCCCUGCAGACGGAGAAAUGUUACCUUGAAGAACUUCCAUAGGCAGGACGAUCCAGGCGUUCGUCAGGUCUUUGCUCUCACCAGGACAAACAAAGAAGUCAAACGGAUCUGAAAAAUGACACACCCUCAAAACGCUCACUUGUUCAUCACCAGACUGGCACAAGAUCACUUCAAUGUUUGUUCAUCCAAAGAAGGUUUGCUGAGCACUCAAACAGAUAAGUCAGGGUCAGGACACCUGCAGCCUGCUGUGACUUACUAACAUCCUCCCAUCUAUGAUCAGAUGGACGACCACCAGAGUGAGAUGUUAAAAAGCUGCAGCUUGCAGUUUGUUUCUACUCGAGCUCAGACUUUCCAUGAAAGCAGGAAGUGUGUUGGCAGCAGAGUGUCACAUCCUCUGAAGACUGAACAACAUGAAGAAAAUACAAAGUGUGAGAUGAACCUGCUGAAUACUGACUCAACAGUAAAGCAUAGAUUGAAGUUAAUGUUAUAUUAAAAUUAUGAUUUAAAUCAGUAACUGUGUGAG